UAAACUCAUCUGAGUUUGAAGAAGGCUUGCC
rnacentral:piRNA from 1 species